GAGAUUUCCCUCUCUCUCUCCACGCAGACACACUGAGGAAAGGCCAUGUGGAGUGCAGAGAGAGAAGACAGCCACCUACAAGCCAGGAAGAGAGGCCUCACGAGAACUGACUAUGCUGGCAUCCUGAUCUUAGACUUCCAGACUCCAGAACUGCGGGGAAAAGAAAUUUCUGUUGUUUAAACUACCUGGUCUAUGGUAUUUUGUUAGGGCAACCGAAGCAGACCGAGACAGCCUGAAUGACUGAACAUACAUCUGGGAAGCUAUGUGAGAGGUGGAACCACAAAAAAAUAAAAGGGACUUGCUUACGAUU
rnacentral:lncRNA from 1 species